rnacentral:rRNA from 1 species
GACGAACGCUGGCGGCGUGCUUAACACAUGCAAGUCGAACGGAAAGGCCCUGCUUUUGUGGGGUGCUCGAGUGGCGAACGGGUGAGUAACACGUGAGUAACCUGCCCUUGACUUUGGGAUAACUUCAGGAAACUGGGGCUAAUACCGGAUAGGAGCUCCUGCUGCAUGGUGGGGGUUGGAAAGUUUCGGCGGUUGGGGAUGGACUCGCGGCUUAUCAGCUUGUUGGUGGGGUAGUGGCUUACCAAGGCUUUGACGGGUAGCCGGCCUGAGAGGGUGACCGGCCACAUUGGGACUGAGAUACGGCCCAGACUCCUACGGGAGGCAGCAGUGGGGAAUAUUGCACAAUGGGCGGAAGCCUGAUGCAGCAACGCCGCGUGCGGGAUGACGGCCUUCGGGUUGUAAACCGCUUUCGCCUGUGACGAAGCGUGAGUGACGGUAAUGGGUAAAGAAGCACCGGCUAACUACGUGCCAGCAGCCGCGGUGAUACGUAGGGUGCGAGCGUUGUCCGGAUUUAUUGGGCGUAAAGGGCUCGUAGGUGGUUGAUCGCGUCGGAAGUGUAAUCUUGGGGCUUAACCCUGAGCGUGCUUUCGAUACGGGUUGACUUGAGGAAGGUAGGGGAGAGUGGAAUUCCUGGUGGAGCGGUGGAAUGCGCAGAUAUCAGGAGGAACACCAGUGGCGAAGGCGGUUCUCUGGGCCUUUCCUGACGCUGAGGAGCGAAAGCGUGGGGAGCGAACAGGCUUAGAUACCCUGGUAGUCCACGCUGUAAACGGUGGGUACUAGGUGUGGGGUCCAUUCCACGGGUUCCGUGCCGUAGCUAACGCUUUAAGUACCCCGCCUGGGGAGUACGGCCGCAAGGCUAAAACUCAAAGGAAUUGACGGGGCCCCGCACAAGCGGCGGAGCAUGCGGAUUAAUUCGAUGCAACGCGUAGAACCUUACCUGGGUUUGACAUGGAUCGGGAGUGCUCAGAGAUGGGUGUGCCUCUUUUGGGGUCGGUUCACAGGUGGUGCAUGGCUGUCGUCAGCUCGUGUCGUGAGAUGUUGGGUUAAGUCCCGCAACGAGCGCAACCCCUGUUCACUGUUGCCAGCACGUUAUGGUGGGGACUCAGUGGAGACCGCCGGGGUCAACUCGGAGGAAGGUGGGGAUGACGUCAAGUCAUCAUGCCCCUUAUGUCCAGGGCUUCACGCAUGCUACAAUGGCUGGUACAGAGAGUGGCGAGCCUGUGAGGGUGAGCGAAUCUCGGAAAGCCGGUCUCAGUUCGGAUUGGGGUCUGCAACUCGACCUCAUGAAGUCGGAGUCGCUAGUAAUCGCAGAUCAGCAACGCUGCGGUGAAUACGUUCCCGGG